UCUGGGCGGCGGACAUGUCAUCGGGAUGUGUAGCGUUAAAUUACCGAGGGAACCAGUCGAUCGUUUUUUAAUCGGGGAACGGGAAAUACGGUAGAGAGAUAUGGCAUACGCCGCGCCGGUGACGGAGAGCGCAGAUCCCGCCGUGACGGGAGGUCAUCAGAGCCGUGGCUCGGGACCGUGUUCUUCUCCUGACCCGUAGCUCAGGAAGUAGUCAGAUUUCUGGCAGGCGGCGGUGCGCAGGCUAGUAAAUGACAAGUGAGACUAAGGCGGAGCUGUCUCCCACCGCAUGCCACACUUGUUUGGAUCUCCAUUGACGCCUGGCGAAACCCUGAGCACCGGAGAUUGGCGGGGGAAGGAAUACACGGCGGCGCUAUCCGUAGGGAGUUCCUGAUGCAGCCCAUUAGGAGGUAACCCCCCUCCCCCGAAUCCUGAUUGUGUAUUUUUCUGCUUGUGUAUUUGCAAGGGUUCUGUUUCUUGAUCCAAGUUUUGGCCGAUGCGGGGCCGCCGUGAUGGUAGAUGUCAACGAGAAGGAGCUUCCAAUGGAGCCGCUGCACUACCCCGCGGUGGCGAUAGGGACUGCAGAGCUACCCCCCAUGGCGACAGCUAGCGCCGAUAGGCAGAUGUGUGUGGCGGAAGGGGGGCUCGCAGCGGAUGGGGAUGCUGAGCCGCAAGCAUCUGAGCAGGCUGGACUCGCAGGGUUAGGAUUGGAGCUGCUGCUCCAGGAAGGGCACCUUGCCCUGGGCGACCCAACGCUCUUGAGAAGGCAAUACGGGGGUUCGCUGACAAACUGAUCGACAUUGUAAUCGUGCUUGCACUAGGUACAAGCUUUGACACACUCGGGGAGGCCUAUGAUUUUUCCAAUCUCUACUCGUGGGAGAAGGGAUUUGGAAUAAGAUACAAAAAGAGUAUACUAAAUGUGGAGAGGACAAAAUGCAUCCAGGAAAUUGUUUGCGGCUGUGCGGGUAAAGCUGUGGUGAACAGUAGAUCGUGCCGUGACUGCCCUGCUCAAAGGCAAUGGUUGGUACAUAGCUGAGCAUUGUGAGCAACACACCCACUCGCUGUCUCUGACAUAUGGGCAGACAAUACACUGGCUUUCCCAAAAAAAGGUGUGGGUGACAGGCGGUGCCCUUUCCCGCUGUGGGUGAAAUAUGAGCUGUGGUGCGAUGAUGUCAGAGACUGCCGAUAUGUCAGAGACAGCGAGUGGGUGACAUAUGAGCUGUGGUGCGAUGAUGCGAACAACCGUGGAUGCCAUGUGUUUAAAUACUCGGAAUAGGGAGUAGGUGUGGACGAUGCCCUUUCCCGCAAAAAAAAAAAAGGUGUGGACGAUGCCCUGUUGAGUGUUGACGCACCUCAGGCCUCUCCUCUGGUUGGGCUUCUGGCGUAGUCUCUCUUCUUGCAUGA